rnacentral:lncRNA from 1 species
CUGCAUACAAUGACAGGUCUAUGUCCCCUAUUACAGAUAUAGUCUUUUCUAAGGAUAAACUGAUUCUAUUGCUGUGAACUCAUUGUUUUCUAAAAAAGGACCAUUUUAGAAAACCUUUUAGAAAAGGACCAUCUUGUGUCUUAAAUAAGAAAUUGAGCAUUAAAAGUGAAAUAUUAGUGGUGGAAGACUGUUUCUGGUGGUGUUUUCUAAUUCCUGGCCUUGUAUAUUCUGUAGCAAGCUAUAGAAUAUACAAAGCCAGGAAUUAGAAAAACAGAAAUUGAGAUGGGAGUUUAUAAAGGUGAAAAUGCGAAAGAUGAAUGAGCAAGAGUAGAGCAUAGUAGUCAUGAUUUAUGCAUACCAAAGAAGACUCUGAAAUGGAUUGAGCUGAAUAAUCUAGUUAUCACAAGAGUGAACAAAUCAAAGAAAAUGGUUCUAAUGAAGAAAGAAGUCUAUGUCACCUUCCUACAUCAGUAUAUACAAGACAUGCAACCUGCCAUACUACCUAAGGAUCCCAUAGAAAUAAAGGCCACUUUAGAUAAACUCACCAAAAGCAAGCUCUUCCCUAACAUUUGGAGUCAUCCACCUGUUAGAGUGCCAACAUGCCUGAGGUUAUUCACGUUUAUUAAAACGCACAGGGAUCCCAUAGCUGCCAGUCCCAUAGUCGAGAA